GAUGAACGCUGGCGGCGUGCCUAAUACAUGCAAGUCGAGCGAACAGACGAGGAGCUUGCUCCUCUGACGUUAGCGGCGGACGGGUGAGUAACACGUGGAUAACCUACCUAUAAGACUGGGAUAACUUCGGGAAACCGGAGCUAAUACCGGAUAAUAUAUUGAACCGCAUGGUUCAAUAGUGAAAGACGGUUUUGCUGUCACUUAUAGAUGGAUCCGCGCCGCAUUAGCUAGUUGGUAAGGUAACGGCUUACCAAGGCAACGAUGCGUAGCCGACCUGAGAGGGUGAUCGGCCACACGGGAACUGAGACACGGUCCAGACUCCUACGGGAGGCAGCAGUAGGGAAUCUUCCGCAAUGGGCGAAAGCCUGACGUAGCACCGCCGCGUGAGUCAUGAAGGUCUUCUGAUCGUUAAACUCUGUUAUUAGGGAAGAACAAAUGUGUAAGUAACUAUGCACGUCUUGACGGUACCUAAUCAGAAAGCCACGGCUAACUACGUG
rnacentral:rRNA from 1 species